UAAUUUAUUUCAACAACAAUUCAUAAAAUCUUGCAUAAUUACAAUUUAAAUUUCUUCAAUUCUCUGAUCAGAUACUAUGACACUUUUAUCUAUCCUUCUGCUCACCCAUAAAUCCAGGCCAUAGCCAACCAUAAGCAUCCUGUAACUCUGAGAAGAAAAGAAAGAUGAAGGGGUGUGAGCUUUACAGCACAGUAAGAAUUCCCAUAUCACACCAAUAUAAUAAUAUAAUAUGAAAAUAAAGAUAAGCAAUAAUACAUAAAAGUUGAUGUUCACUGUCCUGAAUACUGCAAACAUUUAUAGAUUAUCUGUUUUAUCAAAAGAGAAUAUAUUAUCAUAUGUUAAUAAGUGAAACAAUUUUAUUCAACGAUUGUUUCAUAUCUUAUCUUUCCAUUUUCUUCUAUUAUCACAUCAUCUUUAAUCCUUUUCUUUUUGGCUUUAGCUUUGGCUUUGGCUUUGGCUUUGGACUACCAGGAUCAUACGACGAUCUUUUAUUCGGAUCGAUUUCUGUGAUCUUCCUCGGAUCGAAAUAUUCAUGAUCUUUCUCGGAUCAAAGUGGCCAUGAUCUUUCUCGGAUCAAAUCAUUCAUGAUCUUUCUCGGAUCAGAUUCUUCAUGAUCUUUCUCGGAUUAUAUUCUUCCACAUAUAAGCCUGUGGGGGCUGUCCUAGGCAUAAGCUCCUGGCAGGCUAUUCCACAUGACAAGACCAGUCCAAACCAUAUUUCUCUUUCUUUUCAUUUUCAUGAAAUUAUGAUAUUUAACUUCAUUAAUCAAUUCAUCUUUUGCAGUGAAAUAAAUAUGUCAUACACAUAAUCAUGCCAUCAAUCACAGAUACAUAUGUAUUGAUAUAGCAUACUCAUGCUCAAAAUCACAUAAAUAAAUAACAAUAUCUCAGAUAUAACAAAUUCAUCGAUCUCAAAUCCAACGAUGCAAAAUCAAGGAGAUAAAAUCAACGGUAAAAUAACAUAUAUAAUGAUGAUCAUGUACAGAGAUUCUUACCUUUAUCGGUGACUGAUCCAAGCACAGAAAUCAAUGUUCUUCUUUGAUUUAUAAAUUUUUCUAAUAAGAUAUUCCACUCGAUAUCUUAUGCAGAUAAUCGUAUCUCUUCAUGAUCCUGAUCAAAUAUAAAAAUCAUAUAUAGAGAAAAUUACCGAUAAUCGAUCCUAAUAACACAGAUCGAGGAUCUCUUUUAGGAUUAAUCAAAAUUAAGAUUUAUCUAAGUAUCUAGAUCCUCCACUGAUCCAUAAGACUUCUAGAGAGAGAAAAUCCAUGAAGAGAGAGAAAAUUUUAGAGAGAGAAAGUAGAGAGAGAAAGUGGAGAGAGAAUCUUCGUAUCCUUUCGAUGAGGCAAUCAUGGUCAAGAUCAUCAGAGGUCCUAUCAGGGUGACUCAAUAUGAACCAAGUGUUACAAAUUUUGAAUAGGAUCGGACUGGGAUCAGAUCUACCGUAUGAAUUUCGGAGCAACCUCAGAUCAUCUUAUUUUCAUCUCAAUUUUAUCUUAGGAUCCGUGAUGAAAUCAAAGAGAGAAAGACACUAGAGAAAUAAAAUUCAUAAAGAGAGAGAAAAAAGUCU
rnacentral:lncRNA from 1 species